UGAGUAACACGUGAGUGACCUGCCUUUUAGACUGGAACAACUUACCGAAAGGUGAGCUAAUGCCGGAUGAGUUAUAUAAGUGCAUGUUUGUAUAGGAAAAGUUGGGGAGACCUGACGCUGAAAGAUGGACUCGCGUCCCAUUAGCUAGUUGGUAGGGUAAUGGCCUACCAAGGCGACGAUGGGUAGCCGGCCUGAGAGGGUGGCCGGCCACACUGGGACUGAGACACGGCCCAGACUCCUACGGAAGGCAGCAG
rnacentral:rRNA from 1 species